AGAGUUUGAUCAUGGCUCAGGAUGAACGCUGGCGGCGUGCUUAACACAUGCAAGUCGAACGAUGAACCUCACUUGUGGGGGGAUUAGUGGCGAACGGGUGAGUAACACGUGAGUAACCUGCCCUUAACUCUGGGAUAAGCCUGGGAAACUGGGUCUAAUACCGGAUAUGACUCCUCAUCGCAUGGUGGGGGUGGAAAGCUUUAUUGUGGUUUUGGAUGGACUCGCGGCCUAUCAGCUUGUUGGUGAGGUAAUGGCUCACCAAGGCGACGACGGGUAGCCGGCCUGAGAGGGUGACCGGCCACGACUGGGACUGAGACACGGCCCAGACUCCUACGGGAGGCAGCAGUGGGGAAUAUUGCACAAUGGGCGAAAGCCUGAUGCAGCAACUCCGCGUGCAGGAUGAAGGCCCUCGGGUCGUAAACUGCUUUUAUGAGUGAAGAAUAUGACGGUAACUCAUGAAUAAGGGUCGGCUAACUACGUGCCAGCAGCCGCGGUAAUA
rnacentral:rRNA from 1 species